GAAAUUCCUUUUUUUUUUUUUUUAAAGAACCGAAUGCAUCACUUGGGUCAUACAGAACUAUCGGUACCUCUAGGUCCCGGGUGACGAACCCUGGAAGGUGGGAGGGGGCGACAGAGGCGGGGAAAGGACAGGCAUGGCCAGUCAGCCCCGAGAGGGCGGCCUCCGGCCUCCCCGCCUCCCCAGUCGCGGGAACGCCCGCCUUGUCCCCUGCCGUCAGGAACGGGAGCAGAAUGGCUGUGAAACGGUGCAAGUAUCCCCACGAGCAGCAAACCGCUCUGACUAACGGGAAGCCAGCGCGGCCGCAAGCCCGGUC
rnacentral:lncRNA from 1 species